GGGGGAGCAAUUUGUAACAAUGAAAAUGAUCAAAUCAAAAAUUUCUAUCAAAUUUCAGAAUUUGGCACAUAGAAUUUCAGAAUUUGGCACGCACCUUUCACACCUCGAUACAUAAUCUGAAACUCAUGUUUUAUCUCAAAUUUUUGGAGUUUCAUCUUUAAUGAAUUAUAAAUGAAAGGGGGAACAAUUCAAAAAGUCAAACCGGCAACAUUUGAAUAAUAUAGGGAGAGACUUCACUCUUAUAUAUGAAAAACUGAAAUUCAGCAAGUUAAGCCCUUUCAAAAACUGAUUUUAAGAUAAGUAUCAAUAGGCUCAUACUCUUUAUUUUGUAAUCAUCAAAAAGGGAGAGAUUGAGAAUGAUAGUGUUAUUUUGAUGAUUAACAAGCAUUUAACAAGAGUAUGUUAUAAGUUAAAACGAUACUUCAUUUAUAAGUCUGUUACUCUCAGUAUAUUUGUAUAAAUUGAUAUAGAUACA
rnacentral:lncRNA from 1 species